GAUGAAGAACGUAGCGAAAUGCGAUAAGUAAUGCGAAUUGCAGAAUUCAGUGAAUCAUCGAAUCUUUGAACGCACAUUGCGCCCGCCAGUAUUCUGGCGGGCAUGCCUGUUCGAGCGUCAUUUCAACCAUCAAGCCCCCCGGCUUGUGUUGGGGACCUGCGGCUGCCGCAGGCCCUGAAAAGCAGUGGCGGGCUCGCUGUCACACCGAGCGUAGUAGCAUACAUCUCGCUCUGGGCGUGCUGCGGGUUCCGGCCGUUAAACCACCUUCAUAACCCAAGGUUGACCUCGGAUCAGGUAGGAAGACCCGCUGAACUUAAGCAUAUCAAUAAGCGGAGGA
rnacentral:misc_RNA from 1 species